rnacentral:rRNA from 1 species
UAGGGAAUCUUCGGCAAUGGACGAAAGUCUGACCGAGCAACGCCGCGUGAGUGAAGAAGGUUUUCUGAUCGUAAAACUCUGUUGUUAGAGAAGAACAAGGACGUUAGUAACUGAACGUCCCCUGACGGUAUCUAACCAGAAAGCCACGGCUAACUACGUGCCAGCAGCCGCGGUAAUACGUAGGUGGCAAGCGUUGUCCGGUUUUAUUGGGCGUAAAGCGAGCGCAGGCGGUUUCUUAAGUCUGAUGUGAAAGCCCCCGGCUCAUCCGGUGAGGGUCAUUGGAAAAUGGGAGACUUGAGUGCAGAAGAGGAGAGUGGAAGUCCAUGUGUAGCGGUGAAAUGCGUAGAUAUAUGGAGGAACACCAGUGGCGAAGGCGGCUCUCUGGUCUGUAACUGACGCUGAGGAUCGAAAGCGUGGGGAGCAAACAGG